GCGACGUUGGUGAAAUGGUAUCAUCUAUGCUUCCCAACCUUUCGAGGAACGGAAAUCGCAUAGGGUUCGGGUUCGAUUCCCGAACGUCGCA
rnacentral:tRNA from 1 species